GCCGGGCGCGGUGGCUCACGCCUGUAAUCCCAGCGACUUGGGAGGCUGAGGCAGGAGAAUUGCUUGAACCUGGGAGGCGGAGGUUGCAGUGAGCCGAGAUCGUGCCAUCGCACUCCAGCNNNNNNNNNNGCUAUGAUCACAUCCCUGCACUCCAGCCUGGGCAAAAUGAGACUCUAUCCCCCUUUUUUUUUUUUUUUUUUAAGAUGGAGUCUCGCUCUGUCACCCAGGCUGGAGUGCAGUGGCACAAUCUCAGCUCACUGCAACCUCUGCCUCCUGGGUUCAAGCAAUUCGCUGCCUCAG
rnacentral:SRP_RNA from 1 species